UGGGUUGAUAGGCCAGAUGUGGAAGCCCGGUAACGGGUGGAGCUGACUGGUACUAAUAGGCCGAGGGCUUGUCCUCAGUUG
rnacentral:rRNA from 1 species